CCUACGGGAGGCAGCAGUGGGGAAUAUUGGGCAAUGGGCGCAAGCCUGACCCAGCAAUGCCGCGUGAAGGAAGAAGGCUUUCGGGUUGUAAACUUCUUUGACAGGGGAAGAGCAGAAGACGGUACCCUGAAAACAAGCCACGGCUAACUACGUGCCAGCAGCCGCGGUAAUACGUAGGUGGCAAGCGUUGUCCGGAUUUACUGGGUGUAAAGGGCGUGUAGCCGGGAAGGUAAGUCAGAUGUGAAAUCCGGAGGCUCAACCCGUGAACUGCAUUUGAAACUGUUUCCCUUGAGUGUCGGAGAGGUAAUCGGAAUUCCUUGUGUAGCGGUGAAAUGCGUAGAUAUAAGGAAGAACACCAGUGGCGAAGGCGGAUUACUGGACGAUAACUGACGGUGAGGCGCGAAAGCGUGGGGAGCAAACAGGAUUAGAUACCCCUGGUAGUC
rnacentral:rRNA from 1 species